CUUACCUACGGGACGCAGCAGUGAGGCCUCUUGGUCCCUGUUCGCUCGCCUGAACCAGCCAAGUAGCGUGAAGGAUGACUGCCCUAUGGGUUGUAAACUUCUUUUAUAUGGGAAUAAAGUGCAGUAUGUAUACUGCUUUGCAUGUACCUUAUGAAUAAGGAUCGGCUAACUCCGUGCCAGCAGCCGCGGUAAUACGGAGGAUCCGAGCGUUAUCCGGAUUUAUUGGGUUUAAAGGGAGCGUAGGCGGGUUGUUAAGUCAGUUGUGAAAGUUUGCGGCUCAACCGUAAAAUUGCAG
rnacentral:rRNA from 1 species